ACAGAGUUAUACCAUCUCUUAAACCGAAGCACUUGUUUUCCGGCAAAAGGAGCAUCGGCAAAACCCAAAGGCGCUAAAAACUCUCCAGGGAAAACUGGUGGAUCCAGCAGAGAUUUAUGUCUGAAGUUUUGGAUGGUGUCGUCUCAGAAUCUUUCGUUUCUUGUUCAGUUGAUUCAAUCUUUGUUUUCGUUUCAAAAAGUUGUUUAUUUAUUUUUAAUUUUGAUUGUUUCAUUUUUCUAAAUUUUCAUAUUUAUUUUAGAUUUAAUUUUGUUUUAACAAAUUUAUUUCUAAUCGAGUUUCAUGUCGAAAUUAAUU